UGAGGAAUAUUGCGCAAUGGGCGAAAGCCUGACGCAGCAACGCCGCGUGCGGGAUGACGGCUCUUCGAGUUGUAAACCGCUGUAGCAGGGGAAAAAGAUGCACUUAUGGUGUAGUGAUGGUACCCUGAAAGUAAGCCUCGGCUAACUACGUGCCAGCAGCCGCGGUAAUACGUAGGAGGCAAGCGUUGUCCGGAUUUACUGGGUGUAAAGGGUCCGCAGGCGGACCUGUGAGUCAGUGGUGAAAUCCUCCAGCUUAACUGGAGAGCGGCCAAUGAUACUGCAGGUCUUGAAUCAAGGAGAGGGGGACGGAAUUCCAGGUGUAGCGGUGAAAUGCUUAGAUAUCUGGAAGAACACCGGUGGCGAAGGCUGUUCUCUGGCCUUGAAUUGACGCUCAUGGACGAAAGCGUGGGGAUCAAACAGG
rnacentral:rRNA from 1 species